rnacentral:misc_RNA from 1 species
AGAAUAUAUGCCUAAAGCUCUAGCAGGAGACUGCAUGAAUAUGGAAAAGCUUAAACAAUCUCUUCUGGUGCAUACAUUAACUAUGGACAGUUGUAACACAUGCAGGGGAAGGCAAUUUAAACUAAUGCAAUCAAAGUCGUAUAUUUAUAUCAUGGUAUGUGGACAGUUGGUGCAUGUAACAUGCAUAAAUUACAUUUGUCAUGAACUGCUGACAAGAAAAGGUAAGUCUGAACGUAAAUUAGAAAACUCACGGGCAUCUAAAUCACAAGAAAAUAUGGGAAGUGAUAAAGAUCCUCUGCAGCCUGCCGCGCGCAAGGGAGAGCAUUCAUUCGGUCUGGUUUCAAUUCGAGUUAGAAUUUAAAAAAUCGAAAAACCAAACUCAUGUAAAAUGCUAACUGAAACCGAACGGAGAAAGGAAUCGAAUCGAACCUAAUCAAAUCGGUUCAAGCCCAUCAGUUUUGUUCCAUCUCAACAAUGCCAGUUUCAAUAGCUCCAUGCCCAUCGAUUUUAAGCAAAAUUCAACCCAACAGACACAGAAGCAUGGAAUUUCAACAAUCAAAUUAACAAUAAAACCAACAAUUCUAACAAUCAAAAAAUGCAAAAACUAACAAUUUCAACAAUCAAGCAUACAAAUGUACAAAAUCCAACAAUUUUAACAAUCAAACAUUGUCAAACCCAGCAACUCCUAUAAUCCCAUAAAACCCAGUUCUUGAACAGCUAAACAAAAGUCAAUGAGUUGACCCACCUCUACCCAGAAGCAUCGACCGACAAGGUUUUACAUUGAGACAAUAGAAAUUGUUAAUCCAUUGAUUGAAGAAGAAAUGGGAGACUGAAGAUGAAUUUGUGGAUGCAUCGAAUUCAUUGAAGAUGAAUCUGCCCAAAAGUGUUGAAUCUAUGGAUUCAUCAAAUUUGGAGCUUGAAGACGUAAGAUGGGAGAUGCAUUUGAGGAUGGAGGCUGAGACGCAAGAGACACAUAGAGCACUGAGACUAGAGGGGACUUGUGAUUUUGAAAUGGAGAAAUAAAAAAAGAAGAGGAGAGAAUAAAGAAGUUUUGAAGUAGAGAGCCUUAAAGGAAUGAAGGAUUGAAGGGUGAGUCUUCGAGAGAGGAAGGAACAAGGAAGAAUGGGCGGCUGGACGGUCUCUAG